rnacentral:rRNA from 1 species
CCUACGGGUGGCAGCAGUGAGGAAUAUUGGUCAAUGGCCGGAAGGCUGAACCAGCCAAGCCGCGUGAGGGAUGAAGGCGCAGAGCGUCGUAGACCUCUUUUGCCGGGGGACAAAAGCCCGGACUCGUCCGCUCCUGCGUGUACCCGAAGACAAAGCAUCGGCUAACUCCGUGCCAGCAGCCGCGGUAAUACGGAGGAUGCGAGCGUUAUCCGGAUUUCUUGGGUUUAAAGGGUGCGCAGGCGGUCCGUUAAGCUAGCGGUGAAAUCGCGGGGCUCAACCCCGCCGCGCCGUCGGAACUGGGGGCCGUGAGUGGGGCGGAGGCAUGCGGAAUGCGCGGUGUAGCGGUGAAAUGCAUAGAUAUCGCGCAGAACCCCGAUUGCGAAGGCAGCGUGCCGGGCCGCCACUGACGCUGAGGCACGAAAGCGCGGGGAUCGAACAGGAUUAGAUACCCCUGUAGUC